AACGUAGGGGACAAACGUUAUCCGGAGUUACUGGGCGUAAAGGGCGUGUAGGCGGUUCGGUAAGUCUGGUGUGAAAGCCCUCGGCUAAACCGGGAGAGGUCGUUGGAUACUGGCAAACUAGAGGACGGUAGAGGCGUGUGGAAUUCCGGGUGUAGUGGUGAAAUGCGUAGAUAUCGUAAGGAAGACCAGUGGCGAAGGCGGGUCUCUGGACAGUUCCUGACGCUGAGGCACGAAGGCCAGGGGAGCAAACGGG
rnacentral:rRNA from 1 species